rnacentral:rRNA from 1 species
CCCUUAGAUGUUCUGGGCUGCACGCGUGUUACAAUCGGGAGUACAACAAGAUUGCAAAUCCUAGUGGAUGAGUGGUUCUUCGAAAUUUUCUGAAGACUGGGAUAGUUGAUUGAAAUUAUUCAACUCAAACAAGGAAUUCCUUGUAAUUGUAAUUCAUUAUAUUGUAAUGAAUACGUCCCUGCCCUUUGUACACACCGCCCGUCGCUCCUACCGAUUGAACGAUCCGGUGAAUUAUUUGGAGUAGCUCUGGAAGUUGCAGAACUUCCUAUGUCACGAAAUUUUGUAAACCUUAUCGUUUAGAGGAAGGAAAAGUCGUAACA